rnacentral:rRNA from 1 species
CACGUAGGCUGUAGUGUAAGUCAGGGUGAAAUCCCACGGCUCAACCGUGGAACUGCCUUUGAUACUGCACAACUUGAAUCCGGGAGAGGGUGGCGGAAUUCCAGGUGUAGGAGUGAAAUCCGUAGAUAUCUGGAGGAACAUCAGUGGCGAAGGCGGCCACCUGGACCGGUAUUGACGCUGAGGUGCGAAAGCGUGGGGAGCAAACA